rnacentral:rRNA from 1 species
GACGAAGGAUCCAAGCGUUAUCCGGAUUUAUUGGGUUUAAAGGGUGCGUAGGCGGAUUGAUAAGUCAGUGGUGAAAGCCUGCAGCUUAACUGCAGAACUGCCAUUGAUACUGUCAAUCUUGAAUGUGGUUGAUGUGGGCGGAAUAUGACAUGUAGCGGUGAAAUGCUUAGAUAUGUCAUAGAACACCGAUUGCGAAGGCAGCUCACAAAGCCAUUAUCGACGCUGAGGCACGAAAGCGUGGGGAUCAAACAGG